rnacentral:rRNA from 1 species
UACGUAGGAUGCAAGCGUUGUCCGGAAUUAUUGGGCGUAAAGAGCGCGCAGGCGGUCUAUCAAGUCAGAUGUGAAAUAUCCCGGCUUAACCGGGAGGGGUCAUUUGAGACUGCGUAGCUAGGGUGCGGAAGAGGGAAGCGGAAUUUCCGGUGUAGCGGUGAAAUGCGUAGAUAUCGGAAGGAACACCAGUGGCGAAAGCGGCUUCCUGGUCCAGCACCGACGUUCAGGCACGAAAGCGUGGGGAGCAAACAGG